rnacentral:rRNA from 1 species
CCUACGGGGGGCAGCAGUGAGGAAUAUUGGUCAAUGGACGAGAGUCUGAACCAGCCAAGUAGCGUGAAGGAUGACUGCCCUAUGGGUUGUAAACUUCUUUUAUAUGGGACUAAAAUGUUCCACGUGUGGGAUUUUGUAUGUACCAUAUGAAUAAGGAUCGGCUAACUCCGUGCCAGCAGCCGCGGUAAUACGGAGGAUCCGAGCGUUAUCCGGAUUUAUUGGGUUUAAAGGGAGCGUAGGUGGAUUGUUAAGUCAGUUGUGAAAGUUUGCGGCUCAACCGUAAAAUUGCAGUUGAAACUGGCAGUCUUGAGUACAGUAGAGGUGGGCGGAAUUCGUGGUGUAGCGGUGAAAUGCUUAGAUAUCACGAAGAACUCCGAUUGCGAAGGCAGUUCACUGGACUGCAACUGACACUGAGGCUCGAAAGUGUGGGUAUCAAACAGGAUUAGAUACCCUUGUAGUC